AAGUGAGCGAAUCCCAAAAAGUGCGUCGUAGUCCGGAUUGGAGUCUGCAACUCGACUCCAUGAAGUCGGAAUCGCUAGUAAUCGUGGAUCAGAAUGCCACGGUGAAUACGUUCCCGGGCCUUGUACACACCGCCCGUCACACCAUGGGAGUGGGCUGCAAAAGAAGCAGGUAGUUUAACCUUCGGGAGGACGCUUGCCACUUUGUGGUUCAUGACUGGGGUGAAGUCGUAACAAGGUAGCGCUAGGGGAACCUGGCGCUGGAUCACCUCCUUA
rnacentral:rRNA from 1 species